rnacentral:lncRNA from 10 species
AGAAGAAACUAAGAGCCCAACUUGGUCACAGUGAGUGAAGGAACAUGGCUCUGAAUCAUGCCUGUCUGUCUCCCCAGGUCUGUGCUUAAAACCACGAAGUUCAAGAUGGAAACUGAAGGGAAGAGUGUCAAGGGGAUGGGAGAGAGGACUUGUCCAUGACUUUGGCAGCAUAAGGAAAAAAUACCCAGGGACAAGUGGCGACUUUGGAAACUCCAUUCCUCUGCAAAAUGACAUCACGAGGAGAGUGGUGGGGCCUGCGGAUGAAAAGAUCUGGCUUCUCCUCCCAACUCUGCUAUGAGGAAGCGCUGGAUGGCCCUGUCGGCCGCGGUCAUCGCCGCCUCGGCCCGGGAGCUCAGCAUUGCAGCCGCACCGGAGGCCUGAAACCGUCUCCUCCGCUACCGCCGCCGCCGCCGCCGGACCGAGGGAUACGACGGUUCCCGAGACAGCGGAACCUGCGGCCGCAGUCCCAGCACCUCGGGGGAACGUAGACCGCAGGACAGCUCCCAGGGGGACCGGAAGUAGCUGCCCCCGGAGAGCAAUAGCUGACGGACCACGUCCUUUCUUUCUUUUCCCUUAGCAACAGGCCCCGGCGUCGGUUGCUACGCUGGGCUCAGUUGCCUGGGGCUGCUUGGUUUUCAGAUUUGCUUAGGCUCCAUUCAUAAAUACAGAUGGCACACUUCUAGGAUGGA